GCGGCGGACGGGUGAGUAACACGUGGGCAACCUGCCCUGCAGACUGGGAUAACUUCGGGAAACCGGAGCUAAUACCGGAUAACACCGAAAACCGCAUGGUUUUCGGUUGAAAGGCGGCUUUUACCUGUCACUGCAGGAUGGGCCCGCGGCGCAUUAGCUAGUUGGUGAGGUAACGGCUCACCAAGGCGACGAUGCGUACCCGACCUGAGAGGGUGACCGGCCACACUGGGACUGAGACACGGCCCAGACUCCUACGGGAGGCAGCAGUAGGGAAUCUUCCGCAAUGGACGAAAGUCUGACGGAGCAACGCCGCGUGAGCGAAGAAGGUCUUCGGAUCGUAAAGCUCUGUUGUCAGGGAAGAACAAGUACCGUUCGAACAGGGCGGUACCUUGACGGUACCUGACGAGGAAGCCACGGCUAACUACGUGCCAGCAGCCGCGGUAAUAC
rnacentral:rRNA from 1 species